rnacentral:rRNA from 1 species
UACAGAGGGGGCAAGCGUUGUUCGGAAUUACUGGGCGUAAAGGGCGCGUAGGCGGCCUGCUAAGUCGAACGUGAAAUCCCUGGGCUCAACCCAGGAACUGCGCCCGAUACUGGUUGGCUUGAAUCCGGGAGAGGGAUGUGGAAUUCCAGGUGUAGCGGUGAAAUGCGUAGAUAUCUGGAGGAACACCGGUGGCGAAGGCGACAUCCUGGACCGGUAUUGACGCUGAGGCGCGAAAGCCAGGGUAGCAAACGGG